UUUGACUGGGGCGGUCUCCUCCUAAAGAGUAACGGAGGAGCACGAAGGUUGGCUAAUCCUGGUCGGACAUCAGGAGGUUAGUGCAAUGGCAUAAGCCAGCUUGACUGCGAGCGUGACGGCGCGAGCAGGUGCGAAAGCAGGUCAUAGUGAUCCGGUGGUUCUGAAUGGAAGGGCCAUCGCUCAACGGAUAAAAGGUACUCCGGGGAUAACAGGCUGAUACCGCCCAAGAGUUCAUAUCGACGGCGGUGUUUGGCACCUCGAUGUCGGCUCAUCACAUCCUGGGGCUGAAGUAGGUCCCAAGGGUAUGGCUGUUCGCCAUUUAAAGUGGUACGCGAGCUGGGUUUAGAACGUCGUGAGACAGUUCGGUCCCUAUCUGCCGUGGGCGCUGGAGAACUGAGGGGGGCUGCUCCUAGUACGAGAGGACCGGAGUGGACGCAUCACUGGUGUUCGGGUUGUCAUGCCAAUGGCACUGCCCGGUAGCUAAAUGCGGAAGAGAUAAGUGCUGAAAGCAUCUAAGCACGAAACUUGCCCCGAGAUGAGUUCUCCCUGACUCCUUGAGAGUCCUGAAGGAACGUUGAAGACGACGACGUUGAUAGGCCGGGUGUGUAAGCGCAGCGAUGC
rnacentral:rRNA from 1 species